rnacentral:rRNA from 1 species
UACGAAGGGGGCUAGCGUUGUUCGGAAUUACUGGGCGUAAAGCGUGCGCAGGCGGUUUCUCAAGUCAGGGGUGAAAGCCCGGAGCUCAACUCCGGAAUUGCCCUUGAAACUGUGAAGCUAGAGUGCGGGAGAGGUGAGUGGAAUUCCCAGUGUAGAGGUGAAAUUCGUAGAUAUUGGGAAGAACACCGGUGGCGAAGGCGGCUCACUGGCUCGUAACUGACGCUCAUGCACGACAGCGUGGGGAUCAAACAGG